rnacentral:misc_RNA from 1 species
CGAACUCGAUGUAACCGCCCGCAGCACCUUCAUCCUCAUCAUCGAUCCCACCGGCAACCCGUCGUUCACCCCAAUGUUAUCAGGCAACUCAUUAUAAGCCUUCAAGAGCCAAGCCUCAUCUAGCAUGUACUUGAGGAUGACAUCAGCUUUAUCAUCCUGCUAAUCCCAAGGAUGACGAGGAUUAUAUCACCGGCGGCGAUCCAAACUUUCAUGUGCAUCUUCCCUAGGAUGUGGCAGAGGCGUUUGGAGCUUCGCAGCGGCUGGUU